UACGUAGGAUGCGAGCGUUGUCCGGAAUUAUUGGGCGUAAAGAGAACGUAGGCGGUUUCUUAAGUUUGGGCUUAAAGACCGGGGCUCAACCCCGGGAAUGGCUCGAAAACUGGGAGACUGGAGGAUGUCAGAGGAAAGUGGAAUUCCGAGUGUAGCGGUGAAAUGCGUAGAUAUUCGGAGGAACACCAGUGGCGAAAGCGGGUCUCUGGGCCGUAACUGACGCUGAGGAGCGAAAGCGUGGGGAGCAAACAGG
rnacentral:rRNA from 1 species